CCUACGGGAGGCAGCAGUAAGGGAUAUUGCAUAAUGGACGGAAGUCUGAUGCAGCGACGCCGCGUGGGCGAAGAAGGUUUUCGGACCGUAAAGUCCUUUUCUAUGUGACGAGAUAGGACGGUAGCAUAGGAAUAAGUGUCGGCUAACUACGUGCCAGCAGCCGCGGUAAUACGUAGGACACGAACGUUAUCCGGAGUUACUGGGCGUAAAGCGCGCGCAGGCGGUGAGAUAAGUUGCCUAUGAAAGUUACCGGCUAAACUGGUAAAAGUUAGGUGAAACUGUCUGACUAGAGAGAAAUAGAGGGAAGUAGAAUUCCGGGUGUAGUGGUGAAAUGCGUAGAUAUCCGGAGGAAUACCGGUGGCGAAGGCGGCUUCCUGGAUUUCCACUGACGCUGAGGCGCGAAAACGUGGGUAGCGAACGGGAUUAGAAACCCCGG
rnacentral:rRNA from 1 species